GCCGCCAUGACGGGCCCGCCAUGAGGGCUCGGCCCGGCCCUGCCAGGGCCCUGCCCUUCCAGAACAAACCUCCAUAGCUCUACAGGCUGCGACUCUAGCCUCGGUUGCUACCGCAGACAAGCGUUCAGUAGUAGUGAAAAGUCUGAAGUAGGAAAGGGCAGUGUGACCAGAUGACUGAGAUUUAAAAUCCACAAGCCUGUGGCGACACGCAGCACGAGCCCGGCGCAAUCUGCUUGUAGCUACAGGGAUAAAGCGAGAGGAAGAAGUCAAAAUUAGCCUUAGGAAGUAAAAGCAGGGAGAGCGAAGCGUGCGCCGAUUUCUGUGCCCAAGCAGGAAACACUUUGCAGAGUUACAGAGUGAAACAGCCCUGUCCAACUGCAGUUCCAGUGGAGAAACACAAACCCCCUCCAGCUCACUGGUGUGGGCUGAGUGAAGAAUGCCAGUUCUCGCUUUUAUUAGCACAGGGACACACACAAAGAACAAUUAAAGAUGAGGGCAAACAAAACACACAUGACCUCUCCAGACACUACUGUCAAAAGUUUUAAGUAACAGCUUUGAUUUAGAGACUGCCUCACUGAUGUGACCAGCUCCAUGGUUACCUUGUUACAAGGGGAAAGUUUACCAAUCUCAUUCAAAAAACAAUCAAAUAUUCACAACCAGAGUCAGAUGAAGGAAGGAAUUUUGUUUUAAUUGUUCUUUUCACUUGUCCUCCUUUUUGCAUUGUUAUUUAUACUUUUAGAAUUUGGCAGGAAGCUUCAUCUUCUUUUCAGUCCACCUAAAAUGAUACAAUUAUCAGAAAGUCAGACUCCACAUUCCAAAAAUGUACUGAGUUGGCUUAGCUUUUAGUGCCACAGAUGGGCAUAUGUACAAACAGUCAAAAUGAUCCUCUGAAAUACAUUUUGCUAAAGAUUUCAAAUCUUCAUGUCCAAGCAAUACACAGGAAAUGUGCUUGGAAGGGUGCACAGCCAAGAGCUGCUCAAGGGAAAGAUUAGCAAUGAGCAGCAUUCCCUUAGGAACUGUAGUUUGUGGUUUGUUCCUUCAUUUUCUGGCUUCUCAAGGUGACAGUACCACCCUAAUGAGGACUCCAGUGGUGCAAUUACAGUCAAAUAUCACUCAUUUAAGAUAUUAAGAAUACCUGUUGCUGAAAAAAAAACAAAAAAAGGAUGUGAUUUUUAACAUAUAUUCUUGCCAAUUUACUUGAGUUUUGGAGGUCUCCAUGUACAACUGUGUAAAAGUUUGUUUCACACCAAUUAUUUUCCAUUAAGGGAUUUUCAGGUGUAGUUACAGGCAAAACCUACACUGUGAAAACUCAGGUGAUGUACACAUUCUGUCUGUUGUGAGCAGGUCAAAUGGUAUUUUCCACUUUAAAUUUUACAGGAUCUCUAUUCUUUAUGUACAGCUGGAAAAUCCAUGGCAAUAUCCAAGAUCUGUGUGAGCUGAACCUGCCUGCAAACUGCAGCUUGUCAAACACCAUGUCCUUGGUCAUCUCUGCCUGCAAGACAGAACUUGUGCCUCAUGAAAACAAAUGCAAAAUGCAGCAGCAAUUUGGGGAGAAUGUUCAUGUUAAAGGACUUAGCAGAACUAUACAGUUUGGGUAUUUCUGGGUCAUAACACCGAAAUCUAAAAAAAAAUAGAAUUUUUUUUUUUGCAAAUGUAAUUUUUACUUUUUUUUUUUUUUAACAAAUGUAAAACAUUUUACAAAUGUUGGGGAAGGAGUUUGUGAUUUACUGCAACAUUUCUGCCUAAAUCUGAUGGUCAGUUUGGAGAUGAAG